AUCAUAAUCUCCCUGUGCACAUCGUCAACAAGGUAGUGGGCCUUCCCCUUCUUCUAAUUUUGAUGACCCUGAUAUUGUAGUGUGAGGGUAUACUAGUACUAACCAGUUCUCGGUGUAAAGUGCUUAUAAGAUGCAAUAAAGUAGCAGUUACUACAAUAAAUAUUUGUGUGCCAGAAAUGGUCCCCAUUGUAUCCAAACCUUCAUGUGGUUGGUAACGCAACGAGCAUAUCCUCACCAACUAUCGCAUAAGCAAAUGGGGCGUGGGCAUAUCACCCAUCUGCUCUACAUGUGUUGUUGCCUGACUGCAUCUAUGCUACCUAGGUAUGGUUUUGUCUUGUUUCUUCUAAUAUGACUUCUAAUUUUAUUUCUUUGGAUUACAGGGAUUAGAUAUUUGGCAACCUCAACCACCAGAGCAAUGGAGCGUCCAACACUCGUGCAUGUGAUAUAGAACUUCACGAAACACAUUAAUGACUGCAUAUUUCAGAAGAUGUAUGAUACCCGAGUUCGUUCCACCGACUGUUACCUUGACGACAAAAACUUCGUUACACUUUCCUGAUCGAGACUCGCCGACUACUUGGGUAUACGAACCCAUCUCAAGCAGGGCUACUUAUACGGAGAGGGUAGUGAGAACAAGUAGGAGAGUUGGAGCAGUAUACCUCAUGGAGCUCACUCGCGAGAGAAUAGACCAUCCGAUACCUUCAGGUUUGGUGCUCUAGAUGAGUGGAGCAUGAGAAGAUGCAGGGUAUUCCUCCGUUAGAGUUGAAGCGAAGGCCAUUGUAGGAGCUAGAGUUAUAGUGGCUGGACCAGGGAUUGGCAGAAAGGAUAAGGGGCCGAUGCCGAUGGGAAGAGAUAUUGCAGGACUGUCUAGGCGGGUCGAGCUAGAGCAUUCGCUUCCGAUGAAUGAUCUCUUAACGACUGUCGCUGAAGUAGUAGACUAUUUUGAGAUCCCAGCGCCGCCAAAGCCACCUAUCUCGUGGGAGGAUCCGACUUCUGAGGAAACUGAUCCUUCUAUGGAUGUUGAUGAAGAGGAGGUUACUUCGAAGAGAGAUACUGCGUCAGAUGGGACUAGUGUAGUGUGUGGAGGUCACCCUUGUUAUUGUAGUUGCUAGUGGAUGAUUAGAUUAAUUUUGGUUGUAUAGGAACUUAGUGUCUUUCUUUUGGUGGUUGUACUUAUUUUGUGUUGGGAUGACUGUAUCUAUAACAUAUAUUGUCAUAUGACUUUUGUUUGGUGGGUCCAUGUUCCAUUUCUUUUUUGACGUGACCUUGGGGGAUAGCAGUCUUGGAGCAGUACUUUGGUGCAUGUGUCUACCGAGAAUACCCUAGGGGUAUGAGCGAUGUUUGAUAGGUCUCAUAGCUCUGGUGUAUUUUUCUAUUUGUAUAAUUUGGGUUAUCGUUCCAAAAACUGUUUUAGCUGGUUUGUAUAUAUGAUGUAAUUAUUCAUGACUUU